UCCCUCGUGGUCCAAUGGUUAGGACUCAGCACUUUCAUUGCUGCAGCCCAGGUUCAAUCCCUGUUUGGGGAA
rnacentral:tRNA from 1 species